AUCCAAAAGGUUUAUCGAUCCCAAGGGGUACAGAUCCAUAAUAGACAUAUAGAGAUUAUUAUACACCAAGUAACAUCAAAAGUGCGGGUUUCCGAAGAUGGAAUGUCUAAUGUUUUUUCGCCUGGGGAAUUAAUCGGACUAUUACGAGCGGAACGAGCAGGAUAAGCUUUGUAUGAAUCGAUCUAUUAUCGGGCAAUCUUAUUGGGAAUAACAAGGGCUUCCCUGAAUAACCAAAGUUUCAUAUCUGAAGCAAGUUUUCAAGAAACUGCUCGAGUUUUAGCAAAAGCUGCCCUACGAGGUCGCAUUGAUUGGUUGAAAGGCUUGAAGAAAAUGAGUUCUGGGGGGAUUAUACCUAUUGGUACCGGAUUCCAAAAAUUUGUGCAUCGUUCCCCACAAGACAAGAACCUUUAUUUCGAAAAAAAACUAUUCGCGUCGGAAAUGAGAGAUUUUUUGUUUCUCCAUACAUAAUUAGUUUCUUCAGAUUCUGAUGUAACAAACAAUUUUUAUGAGACAUAAUAACCCCCAUAA
rnacentral:rRNA from 1 species